rnacentral:rRNA from 1 species
CACGUAGGAGGCGAGCGUUGUCCGGAAUCAUUGGGCGUAAAGAGCGCGCAGGCGGCUUGGCAAGUCGGGUGUGAAAUCCCGGGGCUCAACCCCGUGACUGCAUCCGAUACUGUCAGGCUAGAGGUAGGUAGGGGAGAUCGGAAUUCCUGGUGUAGCGGUGAAAUGCGCAGAUAUCAGGAGGAACACCGGUGGCGAAGGCGGUUCUCUGGGCAUUACCUGACGCUGAGGAGCGAAAGCAUGGGGAGCGAACAGG